rnacentral:tRNA from 1 species
GCACUGAUGGUCUAACGGAAAGACGCCUCCGUCGUAACGAGGCAAUGCGGGUUCGAUUCCGGCUCGGUGCU